rnacentral:rRNA from 1 species
UACGUAGGGGGCAAGCGUUAUCCGGAUUUACUGGGUGUAAAGGGAGCGUAGACGGUAUGGUAAGUCAGAUGUGAAAGCCCGGGGCUCAACCCCGGGACUGCAUUUGAAACUAUCAAACUGGAGUGCAGGAGAGGUAAGUGGAAUUCCUAGUGUAGCGGUGAAAUGCGUAGAUAUUAGGAGGAACACCAGUGGCGAAGGCGACUUACUGGACUGUAACUGACGUUGAGGCUCGAAAGCGUGGGGAGCAAACAGGAUUAGAUACCCCGGUAGUCCCUGAGCGGG